AAAGAGUUAAAUAAUUAAAAAAUUUAAUGUAGCAAAAUUAUUUUAAAUAAUUAUUUAGUAAUGAAAUGUUAAUCGUUUUUAAAUAUAUCUAGUUUUUUUAGAAAAAAAUUUAAUUUUAAAUUUAUAAUUUUUUUUAUUAAAUUAAUUAAUUAAUUUAAUAAAAAAUAAUUUUUAUAUUUUAAGGGAUAAGCUUUAAAUUAAAUUUUUAUAAUAAAAAAUAUUUUAUUUGAAAAUUUUAUAAUUUAUAUUGUUAAUAAAUUUUAAUUUAUUAUAAAUAAUUUCAUAAAAAAUAAAAUUUAAAAAUUUAUAUUUAAUUUUUUAUAAAAAAAAAAUUUUUUACUAUAUAAAAUUAGUUAUAAUGAUAAAAUUAGUAUAUAAGUAUUAAUAAUAAAGUAAUUUUUAUUAAUUAAUUAAUUAAAAGGAAUUCGGCAAAUAUUUAUUUUCACUUGUUUAUCAAAAACAUGUCUUUUUGUAAUUUAUUUAAAGUCUAAUCUGCCCACUGAUGUAAAUUAAAGGGCUGCAGUAUUUUGACUGUACAAAGGUAGCAUAAUCAUUAGUCUCUUAAUUGGUGACUUGUAUGAAAGAUUGAAUGAGAAAUAUACUGUCUCUUAAUUAAUUUGUAGAAUUUAAUUUUUUAUUUAAAAAGUUAAAAUAAUUUAAAAAGACGAGAAGACCCUAUAGAGUUUAAUAAAUAGUAUUAUAAUAAAUUAUUAUUUAUUUAUAAAAUUUUUAUAAUUAAUAUUUAUUUUGUUGGGGUGAUAAAAAAAUAAAUAUAACUUUUUUUUUAAAAAAUAUACAUAAAUAAGUGUAUAAAUGAUCCAAUUUUAUUGAUUAAAAGAUUAAAUUACCUUAGGGAUAACAGCGUAAUUUUUUCUUUUAGUUCGUAUAAAAGAAAAAGUUUGCGACCUCGAUGUUGGAUUAAGAUAAAAUUUAAAUGCAAAAGUUUAAAAUUUUUG
rnacentral:rRNA from 1 species